rnacentral:rRNA from 1 species
CGGCGAUGUCCGAAUGGGGAAACCCAGUGCAAUUCGUUGCACUAUCGUUAACUGAAUACAUAGGUUAACGAGGCGAACCGGGGGAACUGAAACAUCUAAGUACCCCGAGGAAAAGAAAUCAACCGAGAUUCCCCCAGUAGCGGCGAGCGAACGGGGAGCAGCCCAGAGUCUGAAUCAGCUUGUGUGUUAGUGGAACGGUCUGGAAAGUCCGACGGUACAGGGUGAUAGUCCCGUACACCAAAAUGCACAGGCUGUGAACUCGAAGAGUAGGGCGGGACACGUGGUAUCCUGUCUGAAUAUGGGGGGACCAUCCUCCAAGGCUAAAUACUCCUGACUGACCGAUAGUGAACCAGUACCGUGAGGGAAAGGCGAAAAGAACCCCGGCGAGGGGAGUGAAAAAGAACCUGAAACCGUGUACGUACAAGCAGUGGGAGCACCUUCGGGUGUGACUGCGUACCUUUUGUAUAAUGGGUCAGCGACUUAUAUUCUGUAGCAAGGUUAACCGUAUAGGGGAGCCGCAGGGAAACCGAGUCUUAACUGGGCGUUAAGUUGCAGGGUAUAGACCCGAAACCCGGUGAUCUAGCCAUGGGCAGGUUGAAGGUUGGGUAACACUAACUGGAGGACCGAACCGACUAAUGUUGAAAAAUUAGCGGAUGACUUGUGGCUGGGGGUGAAAGGCCAAUCAAACCGGGAGAUAGCUGGUUCUCCCCGAAAGCUAUUUAGGUAGCGCCUCGUGAAUUCAUCUUCGGGGGUAGAGCACUGUUUCGGCUAGGGGGUCAUCCCGACUUACCAACCCGAUGCAAACUACGAAUACCGAAGAAUGUUAUCACGGGAGACACACGGCGGGUGCUAACGUCCGUCGUGAAGAGGGAAACAACCCAGACCGCCAGCUAAGGUCCCAAAGUCAUGGUUAAGUGGGAAACGAUGUGGGAAGGCACAGACAGCCAGGAUGUUGGCUUAGAAGCAGCCAUCAUUUAAAGAAAGCGUAAUAGCUCACUGGUCGAGUCGGCCUGCGCGGAAGAUGUAACGGGGCUAAACCAUGCACCGAAGCUGCGGCAGCGACACUAUGUGUUGUUGGGUAGGGGAGCGUUCUGUAAGCCUGCGAAGGUGUGCUGUGAGGCAUGCUGGAGGUAUCAGAAGUGCGAAUGCUGACAUAAGUAACGAUAAAGCGGGUGAAAAGCCCGCUCGCCGGAAGACCAAGGGUUCCUGUCCAACGUUAAUCGGGGCAGGGUGAGUCGACCCCUAAGGCGAGGCCGAAAGGCGUAGUCGAUGGGAAACAGGUUAAUAUUCCUGUACUUGGUGUUACUGCGAAGGGGGGACGGAGAAGGCUAUGUUAGCCGGGCGACGGUUGUCCCGGUUUAAGCAUGUAGGCUGGUUGUCCAGGCAAAUCCGGAUAAUCAAGGCUGAGGUGUGAUGACGAGGCACUACGGUGCUGAAGUAACAAAUGCCCUGCUUCCAGGAAAAGCCUCUAAGCAUCAGGUAACAUCAAAUCGUACCCCAAACCGACACAGGUGGUCAGGUAGAGAAUACCAAGGCGCUUGAGAGAACUCGGGUGAAGGAACUAGGCAAAAUGGUGCCGUAACUUCGGGAGAAGGCACGCUGGUGUGUAGGUGAAGCCCCUGCGGGUGGAGCUGAGACCAGUCGAAGAUACCAGCUGGCUGCAACUGUUUAUUAAAAACACAGCACUGUGCAAACACGAAAGUGGACGUAUACGGUGUGACGCCUGCCCGGUGCCGGAAGGUUAAUUGAUGGGGUUAUCCGUAAGGAGAAGCUCUUGAUCGAAGCCCCGGUAAACGGCGGCCGUAACUAUAACGGUCCUAAGGUAGCGAAAUUCCUUGUCGGGUAAGUUCCGACCUGCACGAAUGGCGUAAUGAUGGCCAGGCUGUCUCCACCCGAGACUCAGUGAAAUUGAACUCGCUGUGAAGAUGCAGUGUACCCGCGGCAAGACGGAAAGACCCCGUGAACCUUUACUAUAGCUUGACACUGAACAUUGAGCCUUGAUGUGUAGGAUAGGUGGGAGGCUUUGAAGCGUGGACGCCAGUCUGCGUGGAGCCAACCUUGAAAUACCACCCUUUAAUGUUUGAUGUUCUAACGUUGGCCCCUUACCGGGGUUGCGGACAGUGUCUGGUGGGUAGUUUGACUGGGGCGGUCUCCUCCCAAAGCGUAACGGAGGAGCACGAAGGUUAGCUAAUCCUGGUCGGACAUCAGGAGGUUAGUGCAAUGGCAUAAGCUAGCUUGACUGCGAGCGUGACGGCGCGAGCAGGUGCGAAAGCAGGUCAUAGUGAUCCGGUGGUUCUGAAUGGAAGGGCCAUCGCUCAACGGAUAAAAGGUACUCCGGGGAUAACAGGCUGAUACCGCCCAAGAGUUCAUAUCGACGGCGGUGUUUGGCACCUCGAUGUCGGCUCAUCACAUCCUGGGGCUGAAGUAGGUCCCAAGGGUAUGGCUGUUCGCCAUUUAAAGUGGUACGCGAGCUGGGUUUAGAACGUCGUGAGACAGUUCGGUCCCUAUCUGCCGUGGGCGCUGGAGAAUUGAGGGGGGCUGCUCCUAGUACGAGAGGACCGGAGUGGACGCAUCACUGGUGUUCGGGUUGUCAUGCCAAUGGCACUGCCCGGUAGCUAAAUGCGGAAGAGAUAAGUGCUGAAAGCAUCUAAGCACGAAACUUGCCCCGAGAUGAGUUCUCCCUGAGACUUUAAGUCUCCUGAAGGAACGUUAAAGACGAUGACGUUGAUAGGCCGGGUGUGUAAGCGCAGCGAUGCGUUGAGCUAACCGGUACUAAUGAACCGUGAGGCUUAACCUU